GAUGAACCCCGGCGUGGUCCUAAACAAGCCAGUCGAACGCGUGGCCCAAUUCGAUUGGAUGGUGCUUGCACCUGAUUGAUUUUGGUCGCCAACGAGUGGCGGACGGGUGAGAACACGUAGGUAACCUGCCCAGAAGCGGGGGACAAACAUUUGGAAACAGGAUGGCUAAUACCGGCAAUAACAAGCGUUGUUCGCAUGGAAACAAACGCUUAAAAGAUGGCUUCUCGCUAUCACUUUCUGGAUGGACCUGCGGUGCAUUAGCUUGUUGGUGGGGUAACGGCCUACCAAGGCGAUGAUGCAUAGCCGAGUUGAGAGACUGAUCGGCCACAAUGGGACUGAGACACGGCCCAUACUCCUACGGGAGGCAGCAGUAGGGAAUCUUCCACAAUGGGCGCAAGCCUGAUGGAGCAACACCGCGUGAGUGAAGAAGGGUUUCGGCUCGUAAAGCUCUGUUGUUAAAGAAGAACACGUAUGAGAGUAACUGUUCAUACGUUGACGGUAUUUAACCAGAAAGUCACGGCUAACUACGUGCCAGCAGCCGCGGUAAUACGUAGGUGGCAAGCGUUAUCCGGAUUUAUUGGGCGUAAAGAGAGUGCAGGCGGUUUUCUAAGUCUGAUGUGGAAAGCCUUUCGGCUUAACCGGAGAAGUGCAUCGGAAACUGGAUAACUUGAGUGCAGAAGAGGGUAGUGGAACUCCAUGUGUAGCGGUGGAAUGCGUAGAUAUAUGGUAAGAACA
rnacentral:rRNA from 2 species